UUACUUGGCAUCUGAUGGUUUAUUCUUUAUUUAUUUGGCAUCUGACUGCUUCCUUGUUUACUUGGUGCUUUAUGUUUUAUUUACUUGGCAUCCAACAACUCUAUUCUUCAUUGACAUAUUGCAUAAGCUGACACAUGAAUGUUAUUUGUCUUUUCUACCACAAAACUCAUACCUUGGAAAUAGCAAUCAAGGUACUAAUUACUAAAGUACCAAGUAGAAAGGUAGUCCACUUUUCUUCUGCAAUCAAAUUCUUAUUACGAAAGAUGAACCACAUCCACGAGUCAUUUCAAAUUUGCCUCAACUUCACAACUUCAAGUUGUAUGAUAGAAUUUUAUCUUGAGCUUCUCAUAAAUAUAGUCCAUCGUUUAAUAUGAUCAGAUAGUUUGACUUGGGACUCAAGUUUUGUAUCGUGAAUUUCACUUAACGUCCUUCACAUUCUCUUAUCCUUUUCUUAUUCAUUGAUACUAAAUCUUUUAAUCAAGAAUCUAUGGUGGUAAAGUCUGAUUUUUCUCGCAAGGAAGUGGCAGAUCAAUUUCAUCAUCAACAUCAUUGUCAAGCGAAUGAAGUUGUUCUUGGGAUGAUUUGGCAGACGACUCUAAAAUCAAAGUUCUCUUAAUAGGCACCUUUAGCCACUUUUUAUGUUUUGGCUUCUGGAGAGCUAGGUCCUCUCUGUCUACACCACCCACUUUCCACGCAGCUUAUGUUUUCCUUUUGAGCGGGGGCAAUGAUGGAGAUUCUUGGGUUUAUGAACCCUCUCCUUCUUUUGGCGCUUGUAUUUUUAAUCUUUGCGCUUCCUUCUUGUUUUGAUGAACAGUUAGAAUACGAUUCAGACCUGCGAGGUUGUAAUUUCCUGCUGCCAUGUUAGUUUGUGGGAAUCUAGCUAGGGUUGGUAGAUACUUUAGACACAACUUCUCCAAGGUAGAUAGGAAUGGUGUUGCUCCCUUUGAGUUUCUUCGCCAACCAAGAAUUGCUCUAUUGAUAAUUUCUUCCAGAUUAAA